rnacentral:rRNA from 1 species
CGAAAGAAAGAUUAAUACCCGAUGGUCUCGGUUUAAGGCAUCUUAGACUGAGUAAAGAUUUAUCGGCGAUGGAUGAGGAUGCGUCUGAUUAGGGUAGAUGGCGGGGUAACGGCCCACAUGCCUACGAUCAGUAGGGGUUCUGAGAGGAAGGUCCCCCACAUUGGAACUGAGACACGGUCCAAACUCCUACGGGAGGCAGCAGUGAGGAAUAUUGGUCAAUGGACGAGAGUCUGAACCAGCCAAGUAGCGUGAAGGAUGACUGCCCUAUGGGUUGUAAACUUCUUUUGUUUGGGAAUAAAGUGAGGGACGUGUCCCUUUUUGUAUGUACCAUUCGAAUAAGCAUCGGCUAAUUCCGUG